CUUCCACCAGAAUGUCAUCCCCAUGAUGGCAGGGACCAUGUCACAUUUUUAACCUUUGCAUUUUCAGCCUGAGGUAUGUGCUGGCAUGUAGAGCGCACUUAAGAAAUAUUUGUUGAAUCCCUCGAAACAUUAUUUCCUUCUAUCUCCAGUCUGCAUUCAAAGUGCCUCACUUCAAGCCCUCUCUUGCCAUCAGCCUGAAUCUCUGGGUUCGCCUGCCCUUGUGCCCACCAUUCUGCAAGAGCUGGGCUCAGAAUAAUCCUCCUGAAUUUGCCCCUCCUAUUACUGGAAUUCUGAGCACCACUGAGAAAAUACAACAACUGUGAAGGUACGUUACCAUUUGUGUUCACAUGCAGUAAGAAUAUCAUUUGAUGUUGAGAGUCAACAUAUAAAGUAGGCAUUGUCAUCUGUGUUCUACAAAUUGAAAUUCUCAGUCCCAGAGAGGUUAAGUGACUUUCCCAAAGUUACUUUGCUGGCCCACAUAGAAAGAAAUAAAGCAAAAAGAUUUCUUCAAGCAACAGGAAAACGAUCCUGGAUGGAGGCACAGUAGUGAAUGAAAGAAUGAAGAGCUCCAGGAAGAGAAAGAAGGCAAAUCUAAAUGAAUGUAGAUGUUUAAAC
rnacentral:lncRNA from 1 species